rfam:Picea glauca, whole genome shotgun sequence.
ACAUGCCUACAAUAUAACGUUAAUGCACCAAAUCCCAUUAGAACUCCACAGUUAAGCACGCUCAAUCUAGAGUAGUAUUGGGAUGGGUGAUCGCCCGGGAAAUCCUAGUGUUUUACAUGCC